rnacentral:tRNA from 1 species
CAGGAGGUAGUUUAGUUAGAAUAAUAGCUUUGGGAGUUGUUGGUGUAAGUGUGGAGUCUUACUUUCCUGA